rnacentral:rRNA from 1 species
CCUACGGGUGACAGCAGUGAGGAAUAUUGGUCAAUGGACGAGAGUCUGAACCAGCCAAGUAGCGUGAAGGAUGACUGCCCUAUGGGUUGUAAACUUCUUUUAUAUGGGAAUAAAACGUUCCACGUGUGGGAUUUUGUAUGUCCCCUAUGAAUAAGGAUCGGCUAACUCCGUGCCACCAGCCGCGGUAAUACGGAGGAUCCGAGCGUUAUCCGGAUUUAUUGGGUUUAAAGGGAGCGUAGGUGGAUUGUUAAGUCAGUUGUGAAAGUUUGCGGCUCAACCGUAAAAUUGCAGUUGAAACUGGCAGUCUGGAGUACAGUAGAGGUGGGCGGAAUUCGUGGUGUAGCGGUGAAAUGCUUAGAUAUCACGAAGAACUCCGAUUGCGAAGGCAGUUCACUGGACUGCAACUGACACUGAGGCUCGAAAGUGUGGGUAUCAAACAGGAGUAGAUACCCUAGUAGUC